rnacentral:rRNA from 1 species
CAGCCGCCGCGGUAAUACGAACCGUGCGAACGUUAGUCGGAAUUACUGGGCUUAAAGCGCGUGUAGGCGGGCCCGAACGUCCGGUGCUGAAAGCCCCCGGCUCAACCGGGGAAGUGGCACGGAUACGGCGGGCCUGGAGGGGGGUAGGGGGGUCUGGAACUUCCGGUGGAGCGGUGAAAUGCGUUGAGAUCGGAAGGAACGCCCGUGGCGAAAGCGAGACCCUGGACCCUUUCUGACGCUGAGACGCGAAAGCCAGGGGAGCGAACGGGAUUAGAUACCCCCGUAGUCCCUGUCUCUUAUA